rnacentral:rRNA from 1 species
CAAUAGCGUAUAUUAAAGUUGUUGCGGUUAAAAAGCUCGUAGUUGGAUUUCUGCCGAGGACGACCGGUCCGCCCUCUGGGUGUGUAUCUGGUUUGGCCUGGGCAUCUUCUUGGUGAACGUUGCUGCACUUGACUGUGUGGAGCGCUACCCAGGACUUUUACUUUGAGGAAAUUAGAGUGUUUCAAGCAGGCAUACGCCUUGAAUACAUUAGCAUGGAAUAAUAAGAUAGGACCUCGGUUCUAUUUUGUUGGUUUCUAGAGCUGAGGUAAUGAUUAAUAGGGAUAGUUGGGGGCAUUCGUAUUUAACUGUCAGAGGUGAAAUUCUUGGGUUUGUUAAAGACGGACUACUGCGAAAGCAUUUGCCAAGGAUGUUUUCAUUGA